AAGCUGUGGCAGACUAACCACCGAGGGCCUCUAAAAGGGACAGUAAGCUCAACUCCCAGUUUGGAAGCAAGACAGAAGAUUCCCCAAGAACCAGAAAGCCAGCAGGGCUGGGAAUGAAAGCCAUGGCCUUGUAUGACAUGUUAGGUAUAAAGCUAGCCAUGUGGGCGGCCGUGAGCUGGGGCGGCUCCUUUCAACAAGCAAGGGGAAUUGAGUCCCUCAGAGACUGGACUUCCCUACUGCAGAAAACUAAAAUUCAUCUCGGAGUGACCCUUGGACCCGCACAGAACAGAACAGCUGCACUUGGUGUCCAGUGUGGUGUUGCUUGGAGAAAGGAGGGAUCCAACACUCCAGAACUGAAGGACACACAAAUUUGUGGAUACCAUCAGAACUGACAUGAGCAAGAGAAGUCCCUUGGAUGCUUUGGCUGCUGACGUCGGUGACAUGACUUGGGGAAAGAAGAGAUACAGAAAGCCGUUGAAGUAGACAGUUGAUCCUUUCACCUUGGGGACAGCUUAAGAAUUUGUGUGGCAAAGAGGGAGCAUUAGUCUGACUGACCAGAAAAACCUCUGGAUGCUACAGCAUUGUUUUUUGUUAUGCUGUUUGUGGUAACUGCAAAGGUAACAGGGACCAACUAUACAUCUUGGGCCUAUGUUCCUAAUCCUCCAAUUAACAGGAGUAAGCUGGGGAGAUAUGGAUAUUCUUGUGGUGGUUAUUAAAUAGUCUCAGCUACUUGGUCCUUAUAACAACUGAGGACCUGCUCAGCCAUGAAGGAGGGUAAGGAAAUCAUAAACUAUAUGGUGGGGGUUCAAGGAAUUGCCAUUUGUAUGGGUAAUGGAAUUCAGUGUCUAAAUAUAUUUCAAGUGUGGUUAUCUGUAGUUAAUACUAGCCAGGAUCAUCAUAAAUUUUAUAUGCUUCAUGCAUGCGGUUUUAGAGGACAGGAGAUUAAUACUAGUAGUUCAUAAAUCUACUGCCUGUGAGAUUUUAGUCACCAACAAGAGAUCUGACUGGGUACAUUGGCAACAAUGUAAGAAUGAGAACCUGG